rnacentral:rRNA from 1 species
ACGUAGGUGGCAAGCGUUGUCCGGAUUUACUGGGCGUAAAGAGCGCGCAGGCGGUCGGAUAAGUCGCGUGUGAAAGCCCCCGGCUCAACUGGGGAGGGUCACGCGAUACUGUUCGACUCGAAGGCAGGAGAGGGUAGUGGAAUUCCCGGUGUAGUGGUGAAAUGCGUAGAUAUCGGGAGGAACACCAGUGGCGAAGGCGACUACCUGGCCUGUUCUUGACGCUGAGGCGCGAAAGCUAGGGGAGCAAACGGGAUUAGAUACCCCGGUAGUCCUAGCCGUAAACGAUGGACACUAGGUGUUGGUGGUAUCAACCCCGCCAGUGCCGAAGCUAACGCAUUAAGUGUCCCGCCUGGGGAGUACGGCCGCAAGGCUA